AGGAUACCUCUCCUCGAGGCGGCACACAGUGGAGCAGCUGUACGGCGGGAAUCACUCAGCAAUCGUUCAUGGAUGUGGUAGAUCAAAAAUAAACAGACAGGUCAGAAGCUGAUUGAGUCUCAUCACCUGAACCCCUCCUCUCUUCCUGUUAGAUGCUCUGCGGUUUUGCACUCAGUGUCAGACAUUGAGAGAAAAUGAAUCCAACAAUAUUUCACUGAAAGGGCAAUAGGAAGUGUGCAGAGUUGGCUCUUCCAUGUGAUGACAAUGAGGAUGAGUUGGCCUUCAGUGACUGUAACGAUGAGUGUGUGUGUGCAUGUGUAUAUGUGUCUGUAUGUGUGUAUGGCAGAAAAUCAUAAUUUAAUAGAAAAACAACUUUUUGGGGCAUUUUCCAUUGUGGUACACAGUUGCCACAACCAGUCUUAGGGCUUCAACAACUGAGAGCAAGGCAGUCUUGGUUGAAUGUCCACUUCUGAAGUCAGACUGGUUGCUGUCACAGGGUCAGUAGGAUUUUUUGAUUUGCACCACACCCUCUCUACAGCCCUGAGUUUAGAACGAUGCUUGCAGAGAACAUCAGAUAGCCAGGGGGCAGAAGGGCUGGUACGGGCUGGCCUGGAAGAGAGGGAGCAGAGAGUGUCAGUAGCAAUGUGAGCAUCAAGUAAUGAUAACUGGUUAGGGGAGGAAGCAAAGAUGAAACCAUAGCAGAUAGCCGAGAGGGUGAGAGUGAGCAUGUCAUGUAAGGUGACAUGUGGAGGGGUAUGUGUUGUGGCAGGAACCACGUUGAGGUUAAAAGACAGGAGGAAGUGAUCCGAGGUGUGCACUGGAGUAACCACAUGAGUAGUUUACAUGCUGUUUUAGUUGAAGAAUCUAAUCCUCACAUUGGUUGUAAAUAUUCUGAACACACCAGAGGGUCAAAGGAGGGCAUAAGCAGUCAUAACUGGUUACAGAAGAAUAAUCUACUAGGUUCAUUUUCUGAAGAUAUUGUGAGUGGUGCUUGUCCAUGCAAAACUUACCACCAUGAUGCUAAUGUUUGUUGGUUGAUUACCAGGGUACUUCUACAGUUUGUGGCUGCUAAGAGCCUGAGCCUUAGCAAACACUACACAAAAUUGUGUGGAAAUAAUAUUGCAUUACUUUAGUCAAUUCAACAAUUUUUCAACACAAAAAAUUUGUUUGGGAUUAAAACAAUGAAUAGUUAUUUAAUAGUUAUGCUACUGAUUCAGCUGCACUUAUGAGAACUGUUGGAUGAGACCAACAUUUGAACUGAAUUCUGCAACAUUAGCACUGUUAUUUUCCUGUUUAUUACUGUGAAGCUGCUUUCACACCAUCUGUAUUGUAUAAAUACAUGUCAUAAACACUAUAAAUGAAUGUGACUUGACAUUUUUGCUAUGUUGUAGUACUCAAGUUCAGACACUGUCUAAGACAUUUUCAUGGAAUUGGUCUUGCCAUGGAUUCAAAAGCUUGAGGACUACAACACUGCAGAUACAUUUAAUAUAUCCUGAGAACUCCUAAGAACUACUUUAUAUAGGUUCAUAAUUAAUGUGAAUUAUGCAUAAUGAAUAAUUAAUUCUAAAAUGAAGAUCAU